rnacentral:rRNA from 1 species
GAUGAACGCUGGCGGCGUGCCUAAUACAUGCAAGUCGAGCGAACAGACGAGGAGCUUGCUCCUCUGACGUUAGCGGCGGACGGGUGAGUAACACGUGGAUAACCUACCUAUAAGACUGGGAUAACUUCGGGAAACCGGAGCUAAUACCGGAUAAUAUAUUGAACCGCAUGGUUCUAUAGUGAAAGACGGUUUUGCUGUCACUUAUAGAUGGAUCCGCGCCGCCUUAGCUAGUUGGUAAGGUAACGGCUUACCAAGGCAACGAUGCGUAGCCGACCUGAGAGGGUGAUCGGCCACACUGGAACGGAGACACGGUCCAGACUCCUACGGGAGGCAGCAGUAGGGAAUCUUCCGCAAUGGGCGAAAGCUUGACGGAGCAACGCCGCGUGAGUGAUGAAGGUCUUCGGAUCGUAAAACUCUGUUAUUAGGGAAGAACAAAUGUGUAAGUAACUAUGCACGUCUUGACGGUACCUAAUCAGAAAGCCACGGCUAACUACGUG